GAUGAACGCUGGCGGCGUGCCUAAUACAUGCAAGUCGAGCGAACGGACGAGAAGCUUGCUUCUCUGAUGUUAGCGGCGGACGGGUGAGUAACACGUGGAUAACCUACCUAUAAGACUGGGAUAACUUCGGGAAACCGGAGCUAAUCCCGGAUGAUAUUUUGAACCGCAUGGUUCAAAAGUGAAAGACGGUCUUGCUGUCACUUAUAGAUGGAUCCGCGCUGCAUUAGCUAGUUGGUAAGGUAACGGCUUACCAAGGCAACGAUGCAUAGCCGACCUGAGAGGGUGAUCGGCCACACUGGAACGGAGACACGGUCCAGACUCCUACGGGAGGCAGCAGUAGGGAAUCUUCCGCAAUGGGCGAAAGCCUGACGGAGCAACGCCGCGUGAGUGAUGAAGGUCUUCGGAUCGUAAAACUCUGUUAUUAGGGAAGAACAUAUGUGUAAGUAACUGUGCACAUCUUGACGGUACCUAAUCAGAAAGCCACGGCUAACUACGUG
rnacentral:rRNA from 1 species